GAUGAACGCUGGCGGCGUGCCUAAUACAUGCAAGUCGAGCGAACAGAUGAGGAGCUUGCUCCUCUGACGUUAGCGGCGGACGGGUGAGUAACACGUGGAUAACCUACCUAUAAGACUGGGAUAACUUCGGGAAACCGGAGCUAAUACCGGAUAAUAUAUUGAACCGCAUGGUUCAAUAGUGAAAGACGGUUUUGCUGUCACUUAUAGAUGGAUCCGCGCCGCAUUAGCUAGUUGGUAAGGUAACGGCUUACCAAGGCAACGAUGCGUAGCCGACCUGAGAGGGUGAUCGGCCACACUGGAACUGAGACACGGUCCAGACUCCUACGGGAGGCAGCAGUAGGGAAUCUUCCGCAAUGGGCGAAAGCCUGACGGAGCAACGCCGCGUGAGUGAUGAAGGUCUUCGGAUCGUAAAACUCUGUUAGUAGGGAGGAACAAAUGUGUAAGUAACUAUGCACGUCUUGACGGUACCUAAUCAGAAAGCCACGGCUAACUACGUG
rnacentral:rRNA from 1 species